rnacentral:rRNA from 1 species
UACAGAGGUCUCAAGCGUUGUUCGGAUUCAUUGGGCGUAAAGGGUGCGUAGGCGGCGCGGUAAGUCGGAUGUGAAAUCUCGGAGCUUAACUCCGAAACUGCAUUCGAUACUGCCGUGCUUGAGGACUGGAGAGGAGACUGGAAUUCCUGGUGUAGCGGUGAAAUGCGCAGAUAUCAGGAGGAACACCGGUGGCGAAGGCGGGUCUCUGGGCCGAAAUUGACGCUGAGGAGCGAAAGCGUGGGGAGCGAACAGG